UGUAAGGCUGGACGAAGAUGGAGUGUAGAGGCUGGAUGGGUAGGACUUGCAUACUGUUUACUGUUUCUGCACUAUUUACUAUUACUGCACUGUUUACUGUUACUAAAAUGGGCCAAGGUCCAAACACAUGACUAUUUCUGUAUUGAGAUGGGCUAAAGCCCAAACUGAUAUUGCCACAGUUACUAAAAAGGGCUUAGGCCCAGACUGUAUUUGCUCAC
rnacentral:lncRNA from 1 species